rnacentral:tRNA from 1 species
GGGGGCAUAGCUCAGGGGUAGAGCAUCUGCUUUGCACGCAGAGGGUCAAGGGUUCAAUUCCCUUUGCCUCCACCA